AUCCUCUUUUAAGGGAUGCUGAUGAUUACCAUGGACCCGCCAGACGAGCCGGGAUUGUCUCUGACUUCAGAACUUAACCACAUCUGCAGAGUCCCUUUGGCCAGGUUUAUCCCCAGGCUGGAAUCACCAAUCCUACGGUCACCCCACGGUUCACAUAUUAAGAAAACUUUGUUCUUCUGAGAACAGCCCUGUGAGGGACCAUGGUGGUUCAGUGGCAUCUGUGGAGAGCCCGGGCUGUACCCCAGGUGGCCUGGCUGGAGGACCACAUUGGAGAGGAUAGUGGGGUGGACCGUGCUGACCACACAUGGGGAGUGACAAGGACCAUGACGAGGACAAGCGGAGUUAGAAUGAUAACAAUGAGGACAUUGCCAUUCCUGUCUUGUGUGACAACAGGGACCCCGGACCACAUCACACGGAGUCAACACGAGGUGUCCUGUGUCCUGGCAGACUGCUCGCCCCCACAGAGAAAGUGACUCACGGACCACUUGGGUCUUCGGCUUUUAAAAUUAUGAUUCAAUUUAUCAAAAU